rnacentral:lncRNA from 1 species
CUAGCCUCAGAAAUCUACACGAAGGCAUCAAUGAUUUGAUUCAACUGCCUUCAAUUCAGCAAACACUUUCUCAAGGAAAUUGGAUAAACGGGUUGCUCGAGGGAUCUCUCAAGCUCGUUGAUCUAUGUGCUAUUUCUAGAGAGAUUGUUUCUUUGACCAAGGAGUCUGUUCAAGAUCUUGAAUCCUCCAUCAGGAGAAAUAAAGCCGAAGCAGCCUCAUCAGCCGAUGUUAGUGCUUAUGUGGCCUCAAGAAAGAAGAUCACUAAGAUGGUCAACAAAAGCAUCAAGAAUUUGAAGAGCUUCAACAACAAGUCUACAACAGAUAACGAAUUAUGGACAAUGAUGAAAGAAACAGAGUCCCAUGAUUUAUCAAUUCUAAAGUCUGUCUUAAUCCUCUUGUCUGGGGAAAACGAAAAGUCAAACAAAAGAAGUUGGUCGUUGCUUUCAAAGUUCACAACCCAAAAUAGCCGUGUUUGUUCUGAAGUCGAGCAAGAAAGUGGUGCUGAGGAUUUGAGUUCGUUGAUCAUCGAAAAGUCAACAAAAAACAUGGACAGCAAAAACAUGUUGAAACAGUUGAAAUCAUCGAAAAUGAUCAUUCAAGAACUCGAAGAGGGAUUAGAAGCCUUAUUUAGAAGUUUAGUGAAAAACAGAGUUUCACUUCUUAAUGUUCUUAGCCAUUAGCCACAUUUUUUAUCUUACCAUAGAAAUGUAUACUAUACUGUAAAUCACAUACAAAAUCAAUACUUCGUUACCUAUAUAAUUCAGUGCACAACACCUUAACUCAACAUCUAUUUUGCUCUAUUAACUAUCUAAAAUUACCGAUCUGUUAUAUAACUUAUAAUUACCGACGAUACUAUUAUUUGUAUGGUUUAUAUAUUUACUAUCAAAAUUUUACUUAAGUAAUAACAUAAUUCAGCAAAUAAAAAUGUGAAUAUAAUUCAAAGCUUGAUAAUGCAACACUGCAAUCAUGUCCAAAGCUAGGUUGUCAAGAUUCCUCCUGUUCUUAAUCAUUAAUCAAUUAAUGGAUGAAAUGGCCAUUACUAAUGACUCACAACUAUGAAUAUUCAAUUAUUUAAAGAAAACAUAAACUACAAUUAACAUCUUUCUUAAUCUUACUCAUCAAGCCCACGUUAUGUUUUUCCGUGUCUGAAGAUCAUAAAUAAUUAACAUAUAUUAUAAGCUGAUCAGUAGGCCUCAGGACUUGAUUACUGUCAAGAUUCCUAAUGCUUCAAAAUUAGUGAAUAUAAUAUAUAUUAAUGAAACACAUGCAAUGUCAUUUCCCAAAAAUAGGACCCUAAAACAUAGAAAAAUGAGUAAAUAUUAAAAAAUGGGAUAUAAACAUAAAUUGCAGACAACACUUCACUUUUUCUGCCUUUAUGGGAUAAUAAAUAAUCACAAAUUUCCCAUGAUUUUAAUGGAUUAACAAUAAUUUACUAGCCAGCACGAACGAAUUAAUACUUUCUUCCUUGUCUGAAGAUCAGAACAAACUCCAGCCUAGCACUGUGACUACGUACUAGUAUUUUAUUCACACCGGAGCUUACGGUUGGGAGACAUUUCAUUAAUGAGUAAGCUAUAUAUGAAUUAAUUCAAUUUCAUGUCUGUCAAGAUUCCUCACUCUUCAAUUAUAAUAAUGCAGCUAGCUGAGAUCUGCAUGAUCUGAGUUUUUUUUAUUAUCAAUAAUUCAAGAUCACUGUGAAUUCGUGCAUAUUCAUAUUUAAUUUCCAAUUUUUCACAAGUUGACGCGACAUUGUAGGUGGAACAUAAUCCUUCUGUUUUUCUUUUGUCCCAUCUCCCUCUCUACAUAUAUACCUCACAACAUCUAAUUCAAACAUAUCUUCAAACAAAUCACAUCUUCUCUCAAACUCACAUACCAACACUUUCAUCUUUCAAAGAUCAUUUCGUUAAAAAAAAAAUAGGAUGGCUAAUUUCCAUUCUCGAUCUAACAGUUUCCCUUCUCAAUCUCACCCAAUAAUCGAAAGCGUUGAAGACCAAUUGUGCAGAUUGAGGGCCGUCUCAGAAUCCACUUCUGUGUGUUCUAACUUGGCCAGCCUCAGAAACCUACAUGAAGGCAUAAAUGAUUUAAUUCAAAUGCCUUCAAUCCAACAAACACUUUCUCACGAAAAUUGGAUAAACGAGUUGCUCGAGGGAUCUCUUAAGCUCGUUGAUCUAUGUGCUCUUUCUAGAGAAAUCGUGUGUUUGACCAAGGAGUCUGUUCAAGAUCUAGAAUCCUCAAUCAGGAGAAAUAAAGCCGAAACAGCCACAUCAGCCGAUGUUAGUGCUUAUGUGGCAUCGAGAAAGAAGAUCACUAAGAUGGUCAACAAAAGCAUCAAGAAUUUGAAGAGCUUCAACCACAAGUCAACAACAGAUAACGAUUUAUUGACAAUGCUGAAAGAAGCGGAGUCCCAUGAUUUAUCAGUCCUAAAGUCCGUCUUAAUCCUAUUGUCUGGCGAAAACGAAAAAUCAAGCAAGACAAGUUGGUCGUUGCUUUCAAAGUUCUCCACCCAAAACAGCCGUGUUUAUUCAGAAAAUGGUGCUGAGGAUUUGAGUUCGUUAAACAUCCAAAAGUCAACAAAAAACAUGGAUAGCAAAAGCAUGUUGAAGCAGUUGAAAUCAUCGGAAAUGACCAUUCAAGAACUAGAAGAGGGAUUAGAAGCCUUAUUUAGAAGUUUAGUCAAAACUAGAGUUUCACUUCUUAAUGUUCUUAGCCAUUAGUCGUCUAAUUGGCUUGGGAUAUUUUUCACAAUUUUGACCAUACCAUACAAGUGUUAUAUACAUCUGUAAAUGAGAUAAAAUAUCAAUACCGAUACUUCGUUAUCUAUAAUUCAGUGCACAAAACCUCAACUCAACAUCUUUUUUUAUUUUAUUUUAUUUUUUAUUUUUUUAUUUUUUUUAUCAUCUGUGUAAAAUUAUUGAUCUGCUAUAAUUGCUGAGAAUAUUAUUUGCACGUUUAGAUGUUUAUUAUCAAUAAUUUACUAAGUGAUAACAUAAAUUCAGCAUUAACAUAUGCAACCACUAAUUGAUCACUUCUAUAGGCUAGGUUGUCAAGAUUCCUCUUGUUCUUAAUCAUCGAUCAAUUUAUGGAUGCUAAUGACCAUCUUUUUCUGAUUUCUAUGAAUAAUGACUUAAUAUCAUGUUGUAACUAAAGCACAAGGCCGGCAAAAAAUAAAGAAAAAUAAUAUUGAAGUAUAGGUUGGUGUCUGAAUUAUUACAGAUCUAAAAAUUGUGUUUCUUUGUAAUGCUUGAUAAUUAAAAUAAUGACUAUUUAAAUUUCCGUCGAAUUAAUUUAAUCUCCAUUAGGACAAUGACGUUCCAAUUAUAAUAAUAAUAAUAAUAAUAAAAAAAAAAAAAAAAAAAAAACAAGAAAAACGAAAAUCAAUCAUGUUAAUUUAUCUUACUCGCCGAGCCUGUUAUAUGUUUUUCCAUGUCCGAACAUCAGAAACACCAACAUAAUCAAAUUAUUCCUAAUGCUUAGUGGCAGUCAAGAUUCCUAAUCUUACUCGUCGAGCCUCUUUCUGUCAAAUAACAGAUCAUUAUAAGCUAAGAAUGAGUUUAUGGAUGGCCAUAUUAUUAAACUUAGUAUCUGUCAAGAUUCCUAUUGCUUCAAGAUGAACGUAUAUAAUGCAUCAAUAAUCUGUUGGUUGAAUUGUUUUAUGUAUAGCUGUUUCAAACAUAGGGAGCAUUAGAUUUGCACACGAUCACAUUUAGUUGAAAUUUCCAGCAAAAACGAGACAUCUUAUAGGGGGAAUUGAUUCCUUUUGUUUCCUUUCUCAAUCUUCUUAUAUAGAGCUGGUGAACAAGUGACUACAUAACAUAUUUUCUCAAUGCCAAACUGUAAAUCCAACCUUAAACAAUUUACCAUUUUCUUACCAAAAAAUAAAAUAAAAUUAAGAUGGCCAACUUCCAUUCUCGAUCAAACAGUUUGCCAUGCAAAUCUCAUCCACUAAUGAAUGAUGUCGAACACCAUUUGUGCAGAUUAAAAUCGUCGACAGAAACAUCAACAUCAGCCAAUUCAAUAUGUGAAAACUUAGCUACCCUCACAAGUUUAUACGAAGGCAUAAAAAUCUGAUUCAGAUGCCUUCAACCAAAGAAGCCCUUUCAAAUGAAGAAGGCGGAAAUUGGAGAAACGAGUUGCUUGAAGGAUCUCUAAGGCUUGUGGAUCUAUGUGGAAUUUCUAGAGAGAUCGUCUGUUUGACCAAGGAAUCUAUUCAAGAGCUCGAAUCUUCUAUUAGGAGAAAAUCAGAUGACAUCAUCGCUUACGCGGCGUCGAGAAAGAAGAUCAAUAAAAUGGUCAUCAAUAAUUUGAAGAGCUUCAAUCACAAGUCAACAACAGCAAUCCCAUGCGAUCAAACGGUCAUUGGGAAAAUGCUAACAGAAACAGAAGCCCUUGUUUUAUCUGUCCUAAAAUCCGUAUUGAUGCUCGUUUCUGGUGCAAAAGGGAGAUCGAAGCCAAAGAGUUGGUCAUUGUUUUCCAAGUUUUCUCAAACGAGCUGCAUGCAUAGUGAAUUAGAGCAAGAAAGUGGUUCCGAUGAGUUGUGUUUUUCGAGAAAAGGAAUUGAUAAUCUCAGUUUGAAGCAGCUGAAAGCAUCGGAAAUGAAAAUCGAGGAAAUUGAAGAGGGAUUGGAAGACUUGUUUAGAAGUUUAGUGAAAACUAGAGUUUCUCUACUUAAUGUUCUCUGCUAAUUAGCCUCUUUUGCUUGAGCUGAUAUUCGACACUUGUAAUUAUCUAACUAACUACAGAGUUCUAUAUAUAAAUCUUCAAACCAAAUUCCAUUAAUUUGUCUGUGUUUUCUCGAUUCCAUUAAUCUUCAAAUCAAGUUUUAUAAUAAUUUACCAAAUUGCGACGAAGGAAUGGUUAGAAAAUAUUCAUAAUAACUUACUGAACAGAUUUUUUUUUUAGAAUAAGAAAUCAUAAGCCCUAAAAAAUCAGGCAUAAUCAGCAUAUAGUCGAGGAGGAGGAGAAAACACUUUGGUACCUGUGAUUCGAAGUUUCGACCGCCGUCUGGGAGGAGGAGGUGGAAAGCGGACGCCGUGAUUGGAGAAAAAAGGAUUUUGUCGGCUGUCGUGCGCAAAAGGAAGCGACGAAGUUGUAGUUUUCAGCGAUAGUGACGGCAAACGGGAACGGCGAUUUGCAGGUAAGAAUUUUGUGUAAUUACUGAAAUGGGCACGAAACGUUUCCGGCCGGUGUCUUCGCGUUCCCGGUUUCCGGAAAAACUCCCUUUUUUGUCCGUUUGUGUGUUCCCGUUUCCACUGCCGUCUCCGUUACUAACACCACAAUAUUGUUGUUGUCAUCAGGGGCGGACCCAGG